rnacentral:lncRNA from 1 species
CAAAGUCCUUCUCCAGACCUCCCCUUGUCUUUUCAGCACUGGUGAUGGAACCCAGGGCCUCAUGUUUGCCAGGCGCGCGCUCACCACCGAGCCACAACACGACCUAUCACUCACUGCUUUGGUUUUAGUGUUGGUAGAGAUCAGAUUCUCAACUCUGAGGCAUGGUUGUUAAACUCGACAGGCCUGGGGCACAGAGGAAGGAACAGAAGACACAGGACUCACUGGCCCCAGCGGCCCCAUGGGAAGGUGGAGGACUCGGGCCCUGGGGCCGUAGGCCAGGUCCCUGCUGCAGCAGAGCCCCUGUGAGGCCGGGGACUGAGGCCUCAGAAGGGAGGAGGGAAGGAAGAGGCAGCUGAAGGCAGUAGGGGCAAAUACACUAAUUUCCAAAGUACAAAAUAUACUAUUUUGUCCCUAAAUUAGGACCAAAGGUAUGGUCUGAAGGAAAAAUGCAAAACUCCACCGGGCUGAGAAAGGCGUGCCACUGAGAUGCAGCCUGCCACCGGCCGAGGCUGGGGAGAGGGCCGGGCACAAAGGUCCACCUCGCCCACUGCUCGGCCAUUCAUUGCUCUUAGAGCUACAAGGUCUUUGAGUCAUGGAACUGGACCGAAUUUCCAGUGAUCCCAUUACCAAAACCCAAGUGUGCACCUGCGUGGAGAUGGAGGACUAUGACCUGGCAGGAACGAUUGAUUGGUAAUAGCCCAUUCUGGGGCCCUAGGACUUGCACCUGAAUUCUGGGGAUGAGGGCUUGGAUGGCCUCAACUUUGCCAAAUUCUGCUCGGCUGUCUAUCAAGUCAGCUACAGUUUGUGAGAAUAAUAUGAUACCACAUGCUUGCAGCGUGGUUUCUAUUUUCUACGGGGGGGGGUCCAUAAAAAGAAGAAAGGAGCUGGGCAUGCUGGGGGCACACCUGUCAUCCCAACACUGAGGGAGGCUGAGGCAGGAGGAUCACAAGGUCAAACCCAGCCUGGGCAACUUAGUGACUAAAUGAGGCCCUGACUCAUACUGGAAAUAAAAAGGGCUGGGAAUGUAGCGCAGUGCACAGGCCCUGGGUCCAAUCUCCAGUACCUGUUUAUAUACCUGGAAUAAAAAAUCAGAACUCAAGCACCUGUUCUGUGUCUCAUGUGCUGCGCCAUGGGGGACAAGGUCCCAGGCUCGGAAGGGAACCAGAGUCUGGGCUCAGAGCCCACGGCCCACAGAGAGCCCAACAGGAAUAGAUACACGCAAGGCUGCACAGUGCCCAGGGCACACAGACACCACCACACUCCACUCCUGCACCUGCCGUCCAGACACGAGCGAAAGGGUC